GAUGAACGCUGGCGGCGUGCCUAAUACAUGCAAGUCGGGCGAACAGAUGAGGAGCUUGCUCCUCUGACGUUAGCGGCGGACGGGUGAGUAACACGUGGAUAACCUACCUAUAAGACUGGGAUAACUUCGGGAAACCGGAGCUAAUACCGGAUAAUAUAUUGAACCGCAUGGUUCAAUAGUGAAAGACGGUUUUGCUGUCACUUAUAGAUGUAUCCGCGCCGCAUUAGCUAGUUGGUAAGGUAACGGCUUACCAAGGCAACGAUGCGUAGCCGACCUGAGAGGGUGAUCGGCCACACUGGAACUGAGACACGGUCCCGACUCCUACGGGAGGCAGCAGUAGGGAAUCUUCCGCAAUGGGCGAAAGCCUGACGGAGCAACGCCGCGUGAGUGAUGAAGGUCUUCGGAUCGUAAAACUCUGUUAUUAGGGAAGAACAAAUGUGUAAGUAACUAUGCACGUCUUGACGGUACCUAAUCAGAAAGCCACGGCUAACUACGUG
rnacentral:rRNA from 1 species